rnacentral:rRNA from 1 species
GACGAAGCGUGCGAACGUUGUUCGGAAUCACUGGGCUUAAAGGGCGCGUAGGCGGCCCGUCAAGUCCGGGGUGAAAUCUUUCGGCUCAACCGGAAAAGUGCCUUGGAUACUGAUGGUCUGGAGGGAGGUAGGGGUAUGUGGAACUUCCGGUGGAGCGGUGAAAUGCGUUGAUAUCGGAAGGAACGCCGGUGGCGAAAGCGGGUCUCUGGACAGUUCCUGACGCUGAGGCACGAAGGCCAGGGGAGCAAACGGG